rnacentral:ncRNA from 1 species
AAUUUUUAUGUUUUAGAAAAUUUAUUAUAAAUUUAUUUUACAUAUAAAUUUUAGUAUAUAAUUUUAAUUAUUUAAAAAAUAAUUAAUUGAAAUUUAUAGUAAUUAAAAUUAAAAAUUUAAGAAAUUAAGAUUUAGUAAUAUAAAAAUUAAUAACUAAUUUUGUGCCAGCAGUUGCGGUUAAACAAAAAUUAAAUUAAAUUAUUUCAGUAUUUAAUAAAUAAAAUAAAAUUAAAAUAAAUGUUAAAUUAUUAGGUGAAAUUUUAAUUUAAUUAAAUUUUAAAUUAAUUUUAUGAUUUAGUAAAUUUAAUAAUAAACUAGGAUUAGAUACCCUAUUAUUAAAAAUUUAAUUUAUAAUACUAAAAUAGUAAAUAAUAAAUAUUGAAACUUAAAUAAUAUGGCGGUAUUUUAGUUCAUUUAGAGGAAUCUGUUUAAUAAUUGAUAAUCCACGAAUAAAUUUACUUAAUUUAAUAUUUUAUAUAUCGUUGUUAAAAAAAUAUUUUAUUAAAAAAAAAUAAUAUUUAAAAUUUUUUAUAAAAAAUUAAUUCAGAUCAAGAUGUAGAUUAUAAUUAAGAAUAUAAUGGAUUACAAUAAAAUAAUUUAAAAUGGAUAGUUAAUUUAAAAGUUAACUUGAAGGUGGAUUUAAAUGUAAUUUUAAUUAGUUUAUUAAAAUGAUUAAAAAUUGAAAUAUGUACAUAUUGCCCGUCACUUUCAUUUAAAAAUUGAAAUAAGUCGUAACAAAGUAGAAGUACUGGAAAGUGUUUCUAGAAAGAA